GAUGAACGCUGGCGGCGUGCCUAAUACAUGCAAGACGAGCGAAUGGAUUGAGAGCUUGCUCUUAUGAAGUUAGCGGCGGACGGGUGAGUGACACGUGGGUAACCUGCCCAUAAGACUGGGAUAACUCCGGGAAACCGGGGCUAAUACCGGAUAACAUUUUGAACCGCAUGGUUCGAAAUUGAAAGGCGGCUUCGGCUGUCACUUAUGGAUGGACCCGCGUCGCAUUAGCUAGUUGGUGAGGUAACGGCUCACCAAGGCAACGAUGCGUAGCCGACCUGAGAGGGUGAUCGGCCACACUGGGACUGAGACACGGCCCAGACUCCUACGGGAGGCAGCAGUAGGGAAUCUUCCGCAAUGGACGAAAGUCUGACGGAGCAACGCCGCGUGAGUGAUGAAGGCUUUCGGGUCGUAAAACUCUGUUGUUAGGGAAGAACAAGUGCUAGUUGAAUAAGCUGGCACCUUGACGGUACCUAACCAGAAAGCCACGGCUAACUACGUGCCAGCAGCCGCCGUAA
rnacentral:rRNA from 1 species